AUUCUGUGGAGAAUCCACCUGCUGUUGAACCCAAAAAGAAGUGGAUCAGGAGAAUAAACAAAGAAAUGCUGUUGAAUAAAAAUAGCAUGGAACUUCUUUAAGUGUGUGUGUGAAACGUCAGGAGCUCAGAGGGUGCUUGAAUAACUUAUUACCUUGAUCUGCAUAUAAGUUUUCAGUAGGAACAGCAGCAAUAGGCGGUGGAGCUGCUUCAGCAGUCCAUUGGCCCUCAGCAAUUUGGGCGCCCCACUCAGCGGUAGAAAGCCCAUAAUCAGCAGAAGGUAGUGCAUAAUCAGCAACAGGUACCGCUUCCUCUUCUUCCUGUUGCUUGGUUUCCUCAGGUUCCCUGUAGAAGAACAAGUCCACCUGCACAUGCAAAAUAAAUAAAUGGGAAUGUAAUAAAUCAAAAUAGAAAAACAACUGACGCCAACUUAUGCAAGCAUUUCAACACCAACUGUAAAAAAAGUUUAAACCAGCGCGUACAAUUCAAUGAGAAAGGAAUAUAAUAGAACUUCUUCAUAUACAUAUGUAUUAUGAAAUGCCUAUGUUCAAUACAGGCACAUAACUACACGAAUGAGAACCUUCUAGCUAUGUAUUUGUAUACAGUGGCAUUUCCAUUAAAUGCAAAAAAUUUCCAAUGCCAUUAAAUGCAAAAAAUUUCCAAUGCCAUUAAAUGCAAAAAAUUUCCAAUG
rnacentral:misc_RNA from 1 species